CANCUACUCCCUCUGUCCCAAAUUUCUUGUCUUAGAUUUGUCUAGAUACGGAUGUAUCUAAUACUAAAAUGUGACUUGAUACAUCCGUAUCUAGACAAAUCUAAGACAAGAAUUUUGGGAUGGAGGGAGUAAUUU
rnacentral:pre_miRNA from 1 species